rnacentral:lncRNA from 1 species
UUUUUUCCCAACGGAUGACCUGGACAUUCUGAAGUUGCAUUAAUAGCAAGUUUAUAUUCCUAAUAUAAAUACAUCUCCUCUGAGUCUUGGAAAAUGGGAUCAACUUAAUUGUCUCCACAUGUAUGCUCUGGGGAGCCUGGUCCUCACUGAACCCCAGUUACAAAACCUACAGCAAAUUUUUGUCCAGAUCACUGUCCAUCCAGCUUGCCGUGUUCUGGAGGAAGAUGUUUUGUUUUAUAGUUUGUGCUAUAGUCAUGAGAACAAGCAGCUUGUGUUCUAUAUCUUCUUACUUUUUGAAGCAAGUGUGCUGGGUACUGUUCACGCUGAUCAGCCCUAGGCCUGGGGGCCGUGCCCUUGCAGCCACUCUGAAGCCAGUGCCCAGCCUUGUGCCUGGGAGACCAGGGAGGCUGGGGAGGGAGGCCGGGGAAGCUGACUGCACGGCAGCUGAGGUCACAGCUGCUUGUGGAGAGAAGCUUCAAGUUGACAUCACUGUGAGCUAAAACCGUGGCUACCCUCCGGAUAACAAAGCAAGCUAUUGGCAGGAAGAAAGGGAAAAUUACGAAAAUUAAACAAGGCAAGCAUUAAUGCCAUAUUGCCUUUUCUCUCUGAAAUGCAAGAUUUGGCAAAGCCAAUUUCCACAUUUGGCCGUGGCCUCUCAGGCUUCUGUGCCAUCCCCGUGGAACGUGGUGCUGAUCCUGGGUCUCCCCUCUCCAGCCCUGGCUUUGUCCACUUUGCCCCUCCUGGGCUCCGCCUUGCCCUCCUCCUGCGGCUGCCAUGCCCGUCCUGAACUCAGCUCCUCUCUGACCCCACGCACGGCUCCUCUCUGACCCCACGCACGGCUCCUCUCUGACCCCACGCACGGCUCCUCUCUGACCCCACGCACGGCUCCUCUCUGACCCCACGUCCGGGGCUGCGUCCCGCCUCGGCUGCUCUCACUGCAGCCGUUUCUUCACAGGGUGAUCCUCACAGAAACACUCAAAGCCUUCUGUUACGUACAAAGGACCGCGUGUCAGUAAUCUACAGCCAUUUACCAGUUACCAAGAAAACACGGACGUUUCCACUAAAAAUCGCAAACGUUUCUUUCAAGCAAGGAGCGCCCUGCGCCAGAGGCUGUGGGAGGAGUGAGGAGUCUGGGUUCGUUCCAGCCGCAAUGCUCCCAAAUCCUGUGGUUUGC